UGUGUUCUCAAUUUCUUAAAUCAUACUUUUUCUUUUUCUUUUUCUUCUUUUUUGCUGAUGAAAAGCAGCAGCAAGCAGAAGAAACCACCAAGAAAAGAAAAGGAUGAAACAACAUAACAAAAAUAAAUUUUCUGUU
rnacentral:ribozyme from 12 species